UGGGGAAUAUUGGACAAUGGGGGAAACCCUGAUCCAGCCAUGCCGCGUGGAUGAAGAAGGCCCUAGGGUUGUAAAGUCCUUUCGUUGGUGAAGAUAAUGACGGUAACCAAAGAAGAAGCCCCGGCUAACUUCGUGCCAGCAGCCGCGGUAAUACGAAGGGGGCUAGCGUUGUUCGGAAUUACUGGGCGUAAAGCGCGCGUAGGCGGAUUGAUCAGUCAGGGGUGAAAUCCCGGGGCUCAACCCCGGAACUGCCUUUGAUACUGUCAAUCUAGAGAUCGAGAGAGAUGAGUGGAAUUCCGAGUGUAGAGGUGAAAUUCGUAGAUAUUCGGAGGAACACCAGUGGCGAAGGCGGCUCACUGGCUCGAUACUGACGCUGAGGUGCGAAAGCGUGGGGAGCAAACAGGAUUAGAUACCCCCGUAGUCC
rnacentral:rRNA from 1 species